rnacentral:lncRNA from 1 species
UGUUGAAAACAUAGUGAAAUGAUAUCAUUGCACAAUGCAUAAAAGGUAUUACAAUAUUAAAUAUAUCUUUCCAUAAAGCAUACCAAGAUAAAUGUCUCAUGACACUUAUUACAUUAAGAAAAACAGCGGAAAAGUACAAUGCAUAGAGACUCCAUCUCAGCCAUAGGCAGUCGAUGUAGUCCACGUGACCUCACUCCUACGGAUCGCCAUAGUAGUCGUAGUCAUCACCUUCAUCUUCAUGCAACUCUGUUGUCAACAAAAUUAUUGCCAUGAGUACAUUACGUACUCAACAUGCCUCCCACGGGGAAGGACCUAAUAGCUACAUGUGGCUUCAAAGGAAGGCUAUAUGGCUCAUUUGCAUAAAGCUAUUUUUUUGACAAAUAAAGCAGUUGGAUAAAAGUAGUUUUAGAUGAAAACAUGUUUUAUCUCGAGAAUAACUUUCAUCAAGUGAGGAUCCUCGAUCAACUCACACUCUUCAUAGGUUCCAAGAAUAGGGGCAAAGAGGGAAUAAGCAAGACAGGUCCUGUACGUCAAGAAAGAUUCAUGUGUAGCCCUUGACCAUGGACACGACUAUUCGAAUAUUUUACACUCUACAGAGGUCGUACACUUUACCCACACGACACAAUCUCGACUUGUUGCCACCAGUGGCCGCUGGUAUAGUACUCCAUUUGGUGUACCGGCAGGGGGAUUGUGACGAGGUCUUUGGACUAGAUCCCUCAAAGAUGUGACAUGCCCACCGGGUCUGGCGCACGGAACUGAGAGUAUGUCCUCAAACCGGUCCCCCCAUCUGUGCCGAGGAUACUCCUUGCAAGGCAGCUAUCCCAUCUGCGGUACAGCGACAUCGACACCUAAGGCUGACUAGCUUACAUGACCAAGCCAGUGCCCAUAUAGCAUGUGGCUGUACUGUUAUCACAAUCUUCAAAUCCAAGACUUAUUAGACCUUAAGCGGCACGGACGACUGAUUGCCCCCUUCAACCUGUGAAGGGCAGCCAAUCGCUCCUUCAAUCCUUGAUUCAGCUGUCGCCCGCGCCAGUAUUCGGAUGGUAAGUUUCACCCAGAGUAGAAGAGAGUAGAGGAUAUCAAUAAGGCCAUCUGGCCUAGCUCAGCGGUAAGUUUCAACUGUCAAUGACUCAGAUGUCAUUCAACAAAGCACCUAUAGGGUAAUAAGCAUGGCUAAGCAUUUCUACUCUACAAGAAUACUAUAAUUCUACUUAGGUGUCAAAUGAAUAGUCGACUAGUGGAUCAAGGUAAUGUGUCAAUCGACAUGCUAGCUACAAGAAUUAAAAUAGCAGGCAUAUAAUAACCAUAAAACACAAUGCAAUUUUGUAAACAUAGGAUAAGUAUGAUCAAAAAAGGAGGCAUGCCUUCCUUGUUGAGUCCUUCUUUAGUAACCUGUUCUGUCCAUGUCCAACAUCGAUAUCGUCACUCCCUACUCGUCGGAACGACAGCAAAAGACAAACAAUAAAUACCAAAGCAAAAGUAAAUCCAAAUAACAUCCAAAACAAUUUAAAAUUGGAUGGACAACAAGAUAUUGAUCAAGAUGGAGACUUUGAAAUGAGGUUGAUUAGGAUGUAAGAGAAAGGAUUCAUUGAAGUGACAUGGUUGAGGUUGACACAACUAAGAAAUACUUGGCGAUCAAGACUAACGUUCCAAUACGAAUAUGCAAUUAAACACUAGUAGUGCCCACUACACAUCUCGACAAACUAUAUAGGAAACUACUAUCUAACAAACACAAUGGCAUCAACACACAUGAAAAUGAACCAUCCUAUGCAUUUAACCACACAAUUACAACAUGACAUGAUGAAGGUAAAAGUCAAAUAAAUAUUUAGACAGAACCUAAAUAUUUAUAAUGGUCAAUAGCAGACAAACAUAUGCAUCAACUAUAUAAUAAUUCCAAACGAACAAACAUUACAAACCAUACUAGUUAAGCAAUCAAACAUCAUUCAACAACAUGAGUUGAAAUGAUCUAGGUCUAGCCCCAAAAAAACCAUUAAAAUGGAAUAGGGUCAACUCCAUUAUAUCAAAUCAAUUCAUUUGUCAAACAAUUAACAAGAAACUAUACAACACAUGGAACAAAUGGAUGCACAACUAUCCUAGGCAUGAUAUGAUUAAGAGUAACAAUCAACCAAGAAUAAAUAUUUGGAUGAAUCCAAAUACUUAUAAUGGUUAACAACAAUCAAAGACUAAACAUAAAUCAUAAAAACUAUUAGCAAUAAUUUAUAUAAAAGAAGACAAACCAAUACUAAUUAAGGUAGAAACUAAUUUAACAACUGAAUAAUAACACAUAUCUCACAUAAUACAUGUGAGUAUUGAUUCACUAGAUGUCUAAGCAAAUAACACAAGCAUGACACAUACGAGUGAUCAUGAUAAGAUAUUAAACUAGAAUAUGGUCUUACUACUAAAGAACAACUAAUACUCAAGUAACCACUAGAAAUAAGAUUGCCACUUCAUGCUUACAUAACAGAUCAAACUAUGCACACUAAGCAUAUGAGGAAGAUACAACUCACUAACAUGAAAGGUAAAUUGUCUUAAGCAUGUGCUAAACUAUCGCAACAAGACCCGACACUCCUGAGGCUACCAUAAGGCCAAAGUGAUCAUCCAUAAAAAUGCACAAGAGACUAAGUACUCAAUUAUAGCACAUAGACAAAACAAGACAUGAAAGAUCACUUGCAUGAGUGACAACUGACAUAUAACAAUGCAACAACUAGAUAAAGUAGAUAUGAAGAAGUGUAGGCAUACAACAAUGUAAUAGUGAGGUAGACUAGAUAUAAUGCUAAGCUUGGAUGAUCAUGACACAAGAUGCCAAACUAUGCUACCAGUAGAAUACAACUUAAUGACUAUGACAUAACUUAGUUGAUAUCAACUAACAUGACUAUCAAGAAUGGCAUUAGCUCAAAACACUAUCAUGUUAGUUGUGACUUAUAAGAAAAAGGGAAAAGCAUACUAAGCAAGUACACAUCUAGGUCAUGGCAUCAAUCACAUCAAGUGAUGUGCUAUACUAGCAUGAAUAACAUGAAGACAUGUAUUUCUAUCUAGUACAACCUAGACUUUCUAAUACAUAAAUGGACAACCUAGGCAUCAUACAACACACGGGUCGUUACACACAUUUAUGCAAUCUAUUUAACAAUCCCAACAACAUGGCAUGACAAGCAAAAAUAUUUAAACAUCUAUCUUAGACAAAGCAUGAUUUAAAACCAACAUGUGACAUGGAUGAAAAAUGAAUAAGUAAACCAUAUAUAUGAUUUCGCCAUGCUAAAUAAUAUUAAAUAGUCAAGACAUGAGGUGUUUCAUGACUAGAUGGAUAAGUAAAUGAACACCUAGAACAAAUCUAAAAAAUUAUAAGCACGAUGAAUAUUCACCACAAUGAUGUACACGUUCUCCGUGAAACAAUAAAGAAUACCAAUCAUUACUAAAAUAAUAAUAAUAAGAUUACACUAACAAUGAUCCAAAUCUAAUUAAAAUAAUAACACCAAACAAGCAUGUAAGAACAUUAAUAAUCUAUUACAACAAUCAACUCCUACACAUGGUAAGAAUUUGCAAAGACUUGUACACAGACAUGUCAUAGGACUACACACACACCAAAGAAAAAUGUCACAUGGGACAACCAGUUCAACAAUUAUCAAAUAAUUAUAAUCGGUAAAUAAAUCCAGCAAGUGACAUGACACAUCAAAAUUACGAGGCGAAUAGAUACCAUGCACUCCUAAGCAUACCAAGAACAUAAGGAAAUAACAAUAUAUUAACAGAAGUUCACUGAUGAAUCCUACACAUAACCAUGCAACACUAUUUUAAAACUAUUGUUUUAAUCAACAAGAGCGGCUAGAUAAAAUCUAUAUUAAAUCUCGAUUGACUAAACAAGUAAUCUAGUAAAUCAAUUGAAACUCCUAUGAUUAAGAAAUAUUUAGGAGCGACUCCUGGGUAUAAGUCACACAAGUGAAAAUUCGAAAGUGAAAGAAACAUGCACAUAGUGUAAUUCCCAUUUUACUAGAAUAAUGUCUAACAAGAUAUAUACGCAAAAUCAAAAACCACAAACGUGUUCCUCUAACCACUUAACAUGUUUCAUCCAUUGGGAUCAAGAUCAAACGAUAAACAAAAACGAUGGGAAUAUGCCUAUAAUAUUUGGUUUAUGCGAUGGAUAGCAUCGGCGCGCCCAACAACAAAAAUAGAAGGAACUAAGAUGUAUAGGAGAUAACACGAGUGAUGUUUGGAAGGUGUGCAAUAGGAAUUGGAAAGUGGUUCACCGAGUUGGACGGAACGGUGCGAUGAACUUGACGAACAGUGUAUACGUACUUGCAAAAUUCUCCGCGUAUGCUCGACGGAACACGUUGUUUCUUCUUUGAAUGGAGCUGCGGCAUGGAGCAGAAUAUUUUGGCGCAAGGACUCGAACAUGGAUCGCCUAAAUCAUCGGGAUAGAGCACCGGCGUCCAUGGAGCUGCUGUAGUUCAAGGAGAGUUCUUCAAAGAAUUAGGAACAGAUAGGGAGGGGUUGCUAGGGGAUUGGAAGAGGAGGUGGAGGCCCACAUGUAGGUACUCACAAAUUUGGAAACGGUGAAGAACUAAACAAUUUAGACCAGGGAAUGUUUCGCCUGUAGGUUUCCUCUUCCUCUUGUUUGUGUGCAUGUAGGUGUGCGUGGGUGGAGAAAGAGAUGAAGCGCUUGAGGCACGGCUUUGGGAGAUGAAGUGGAGAGAAAUAGGC